rnacentral:rRNA from 1 species
UACGAAGGGGGCUAGCGUUGCUCGGAAUCACUGGGCGUAAAGCGCACGUAGGCGGAUUGCUAAGUCAGGGGUGAAAUCCUGGAGCUCAACUCCAGAACUGCCUUUGAUACUGGCGAUCUCGAGUCCGGGAGAGGUGAGUGGAACUGCGAGUGUAGAGGUGAAAUUCGUAGAUAUUCGCAAGAACACCAGUGGCGAAGGCGGCUCACUGGCCCGGUACUGACGCUGAGGUGCGAAAGCGUGGGAGCAAACAG